GCCCAGCACCGAAUCCUUCACCAUCUCGGUGACAGGAAAUGUGGUGUUUAGGCCGUACCUUGUCCCGACACGUCUCUCCUCAAGUCCACUUGAUUGUGGCCCCAGGCCCAGAGAGGGUGUAAGGCCCGUGGAGGCGAGACGUUCGGUACCCGGUGCGUCCUUAGAGUCGGGUUGUUUGGGAAUGCAGCCCUAAGCGGGUGGUAAACUCCAUCCAAGGCUAAAUACCAGCACGAGUCCGAUAGCGAAGAAGUACCGCGAGGGAAGGUUGAAAAGAACUUUGAAGAGAGAGUUCAAGAGUACGUGAAACCGCUGAGAGGCAAACUGGUGGAACUGAAAUGGUCCCGAGGAAUUCAGCCGUUGGUGUUUGCACAGUCUUUGGUGCUUGAUUUAACGACAACGCCAUUGAAUGACGUUUUCAUCAUCGGUGCACUUUCCUCGUUAUGGGCCCGACCACGACCGGUGAGCUGAUCUGUCUGUCGUGCUUGGAAGAUAGCGCCAUCUUCGGAAGGCGUGUUAUAGACUUGCAUACGGAGCAGUCGGCGCACUGGAUGAAAGUGCCUGCCCAUUGGGCUCAUAUGGUGGUUGUUUUGUCGGCGAGUUCUGGUGUCACUACUUCGGUAGAGUCACUGGACUGUGUUGGCCUUAUGAUUGUCCUCUAUGAUUGGCACUGUUAAGUCUGUGGUUGUGAAGUAGGUAGUCCACCUGACCCGUCUUGAAACACGGACCAAGGAGUCUAACAUGUGCGCGAGUCAUUGGGUUCACGAAACCUAAAGGCGCAGUGAAGGUGAAGAUCUGCUUUGGCAGAUUGAGGUGGGAUGCUGGGUCACGCGCCCAGCCGCACUACCGGCCCGUUCUAUAUGUAUCUCAUAGGAGCGGAGCAAGAGCGUACACGUUGGGACCCGAAAGAUGGUGAACUAUGCUUGCGCAGGUCGAAGCCAGAG
rnacentral:rRNA from 1 species